GGAAGUUUUCGGAUGGAAGCGGAUAUGACUUAGCGGCGGACGGGUGAGUAACGCGUGGAUAACCUGCCUCAUACAGGGGGAUAACAGUUAGAAAUGACUGCUAAUACCGCAUAAGCGCACAGGACCGCAUGGUCCGGUGUGAAAAACUCCGGUGGUAUGGGAUGGAUCCGCGUCUGAUUAGCUGGUUGGUGAGGUAACGGCCCACCAAGGCGACGAUCAGUAGCCGACCUGAGAGGGUGGCCGGCCACAUUGGGACUGAGACACGGCCCAAACUCCUACGGGAGGCAGCAGUGGGGAAUAUUGCACAAUGGGGGAAACCCUGAUGCAGCAACGCCGCGUGAGUGAAGAAGUAUUUCGGUAUGUAAAGCUCUAUCAGUAGGGAAGAAGAAAGACGGUACCUGACUAAGAAGCCCCGGCUAACUACGUGCCAGCAGCCGCGGUAAUACGUAGGGGGCAAGCGUUAUCCGGAUUUACUGGGUGUAAAGGGAGCGUAGACGGCUGUGCAAGUCUGAAGUGAAAGCCCGUGGCUCAACCGCGGAACUGCUUUGGAAACUGUAUAGCUUGAGUACUGGAGAGGCAGGCGGAAUUCCUAGUGUAGCGGUGAAAUGCGUAGAUAUUAGGAGGAACACCAGUGGCGAAGGCGGCCUGCUGGACAGAAACUGACGUUGAGGCUCGAAAGCGUGGGGAGCAAACAGGAUUAGAUACCCUGGUAGUCCACGCGGUAAACGAUGAAUGCUAGGUGUUGGGGAGCAAAGCUCUUCGGUGCC
rnacentral:rRNA from 1 species